rnacentral:misc_RNA from 1 species
GAUGAAGAACGUAGCGAAAUGCGAUAAGUAGUGUGAAUUGCAGAAUUCAGUGAAUCAUCGAAUCUUUGAACGCACAUUGCGCCCCAUGGUAUUCCGUAGGGCAUGCCUGUUCGAGCGUCAUUUACCCCCUCAAGCUCCGCUUGGUGUUGGGCGUCUGUCCCGCUUCGCGCGCGGACUCGCCCCAAAGGUAUUGGCAGCGGUCGUGCCAGCUUCUCGCGCAGCACAUUGCGCUUCUCGAGGCACCGGUGGGCCCGCGUCCAUCAAGCUCACCCCCCCAGUUUGACCUCGGAUCAGGUAGGGAUACCCGCUGAACUUAAGCAUAUCAAUAAGCGGAGGA